UUUCCUCAGCCUUACUCCAGGGGCUUUUCAUCCAUAGAGCACCCUGGCAUUGCCUGAGGAUAGAGGACAUAGCACAUAUCCCUCCCCAGUAAGAAUCUGCUUUCUGUUGGGGUCUACAGAUUGCGCUGACAGU
ensembl:snoRNA SNORA49 small nucleolar RNA, H/ACA box 49